CUUCCGCCGCCCCCGCCGCGGGGCUGUGGUGCCGAGGGGUGCGACGGGCGUGGGCUGAGGGGCUGAGGCGCCCUCCGCGCUCCUCAGGGCUGGGGCGCGGGGGACGCGUUCCGGGGACCCUGGCAGGGACGGGAGCGGGUCCCGCGGCCGGGCUGUGCCCGGCAGGGGCAGUGCCCAGUGUGGCGCCCAGGGUCGCUGGAGCGGUGGGCUGUGCUUGGAGUCACUCGGGUUGUGUUUCUCUGCAUGUCAAGCGACACACCCACAAUAAAGUGCCUGCUAAGCCCAGCGCGCGGUGGACUUAAAAAGAAGCUGUAAGUGAGUUUGGUGUUUUGGGAGAAGGCUGCUUGUGUGAGGACAUUCUGUGUGCUUGUGCGUUGUGCGUGAGUUUUUUUUCCUCCGCCUUUUUGACAGUCCUUCGUGGCCUCUGGGGAGCAGCUGGGAUUUCCCUGAGUGGGGACUCGGGUUUUGGUGACUCCGCUUGUUGGAGCGGGCGGGUGUUGAGUGUUUGCGGUUUCGUGAGACUCUGAAAUCUCAUUUAUUUCUUAAGCAUACUUCAAAGAUCUAACGUUGUUUGUCAGCGAAAUUGACACAGGUGUAUUUUCCAGUUAUUGGUGUUGUCUACAAAAAACUGACUUGAGAAACCUUUUAAGUGUGAGUCACCAGAUCUUCUCUGUAUUCUUAGCAGUGUCUGCCUCCUCUUCCAUGAUAGAGAUAAUGCUAAAUUUCAAACCCGGUAUAGGCUGACAAAGCUAAUUGUAACUCCUUUCCUGGGGAAUAUCACUAUGCCCUAAUUUCCUCCCUAAUAUGUUUUACUGUAAUUCAUCCCCUUGUGAAUUUGUGCCACUGUGAACGGUAGUAGAGAAAUGGCCUCAGAGGGAGCUUUUUCAGACAGCGUAUUUUGAAUGCUGUAAGCUAUGCAGUUAUCUAAAGUCUUCUUAUAAAACCUCUGCAACGUUUUUCAGAAAACCCAAAAGAGAUUGAUGGUGAAGCAUUCAACUGUAGGUAUUUUCUGUUAGGUAUAACCGACACCCUGCAUACAGUGCUCAUGAUGGUUAUCAUGUCUGCCUCUGCUAGCAGUUUGUGUGGCUACUUGCACUCUUUGUAGAGAAGAGCCAGGGGCAACAAUGGCCAUAGAUUUCCCUUUAUUUGAGAAAAGUGCUUCCCAGAUGGAAGCAGGGGGAAGGAAAUAGAACUCUGGCGUUAAAGUACACUAACCCAUGUGUUGGAACCAGGAGUGCUUAAUUUGGGGAGCAGCCUAUAAAGUGGUGGGGGUGGAGUUGUGUUAAGGCUAAAGCUGAGGCAUAGAGGACUGCUUGUGUGGUUUGAGGAUUUAGAUCUUGCUCCCACUGUACACUAACAUUAAACUUCCACAUUUCUCCUUCAGCUGACUGUUAAAUGUGUGGUACAGUGCUGUUACAGUGGGAAUUUUUGUGGUGGUCACUUAAUGCUUAUGAAGUGAUACCUACGUGUUAUUUACAAGUUCAUGACAAAAUAUCUGUACGUAUACAUAAAUAUACAGGAUUUAACUCUCCUCUCUGGGGAAUUGGUCAGCAAUAUUUAUACGACUGUAAGAUCUGUUAACUGUGUAUAUACUUGUACAUCUCUGUAGAAGCAUAUUUCUUUUAAGACAAAAAAUAAUAAUCUUUAUUUGUGGUUGCACACAAGCACUUAGGUUAAUGAAACCUGGCUGGUUAAACCAUGAAGUUGAUUUUCCAAGUGGUGUAUGUGCCAGUGGUUUGCCUGGGUUACAACAGUGAUUAGACAAAAUCACGGGGCAAAAUUGUGCCAUGGGGAUUAUUUUAAGCAUAAAUGUAAAACUUCAUGUAUUUCUGGGCUGCUUUUAAAAGGAAGCUGGAUAAAUAUCACUGUGUAUUUACCCUACUGCUGGAUUUUCCCCUGAGCUUUGUUAUUAACUAUUGUUGGAUACAGGAUGUUGGGCUGGCUGGGGCAUUGGUCUGUCCCUAUAGAGCUGUCCUUGUGUUCUUUUGUUGGGUUCCAGCAUGCUCUGAGUACGUGUCAUCAGUAUCUCUAGAACAAAUUCAGUUUAUCUCAAAGAACUAAAUGUGCUGCUUUUGCAAAACUGCUGUGGCUUCUUUACAUCUUUGAGCUGAGAGGAAAUGGUUGAGUGAUGAUGAAAUCUAGUUUUCUGGGUUGUUUUUUUUUCAUGUGCUGCUAAGAUGCUUCAGACAUUGUAACUGAAACAUCUUAUAAUUGUUCUCGGAUCCAAAGCUCAAAAAUAUUUGGUAAACAUGAGGCAACUUCAUUUGGAACUUGGUCUGAAGUGUCAUCACUUGAAAAUUGAAUGGAAAAAUAAAUCUGCUUUAGAUUAAAGUAUUAAUAUAUAGAGCCAUAUGAGCAGCUUAACUUCUCAAUGUUGUUUGUAUCAGCAGGAUGCUUUAUUCAGCUUCAAAAGCCAAGGAGAUGUGGAUUUACUUUGCCUUUGUCCUUUAUGCCUUUGUGAAGCAGAAUAAAUCUGUGCUUUAAGAGUUGUACUGUUCUUUUGAAGUCACUCUCUAGCCUGUUACAGUCUCCUCAUAAAAGCUGUAAACAGUUGAAAUACCACAGCCAAGAAGGUCCGUCUUGAGGAGUUUAUUUGCAUGGUGUGGUGAAGAAUAUACAGCUGGUAGGAGUCAUGUGCUAAUAGAAUGCAGCCUGUCUUUAAAUAAAUACUGAAGGGAAAAAUCGUGACCACCAUUCCCCCUCCUUCACCCCAAGCUACAGAAGUUUUCUUCUAUUCAGUUGGGUCACCUUGUAAUGGAAGAAGGUGGAGCUGACCAUGAUAUUGCUAUGGAAGGAUCUAAUGAUUUGUUCAUAGGCAGCUGUAAUGGUACAGGAGAGUCAGAACCAAAUUAUCAGGUUUUUCAGAAGUUGCUACUCAAAGUACAUUUUACUGUUUUUCCUCUGUGAAAGCAACUAAUGUGCAUGGAUUCCAGGGAUCCAUUGUUUGGCCAGAGCGACUCUCCCCCAGCCCUGGCCAUCACAGUCCCCCUCUCGGGCAGUCCUCCAGCAUCGGCUGUACCGGCGCGGCCGCCCCAGUCACUCUCCCACUCUGCAGAGGAGUUGCACCUGGCAGAGCAGCCCAGGCAGCCCCUGUGUGAGCUGCAGCCCCUGGGAGGGCCCAGUGCACCCAUGAUGAUUGUUGCCAGCCAGUCAGAAAAUGGACAGGUUCUGCAUGUCAUUCCUUCUACCCAGCCAGGAGUGACCCAAGUGAUUAUUCCUCCAGGUCAGCUUCUGGAUGUGACCAGCACUCAGGAUAUUUCGGAAGAAAAGCGUAGUGAUGGGAACCUGCAGACUGUGGUGGUGGCUUCUCUAGCAGACAGUGCAAGCAGUUACAUUCUACAUCCACAGGCAUCUCUCACCAUAUCGAAAAAAGCAACCACCAGGGUAGUGGAAGACUCUUUUCCCAUCCCUCUUCAGCCAUUGCCACUAAAUACGCCUGCAUGGGCACGCCGUCUCAGGAACUGUGAGAGAAUUGGGGACUCGUACCGCGGCUAUUGUGUGAGCGAGACAGAGUUAGAGAGCAUUCUCACGCUACACAAGCAGCAAACACAGAGUGUGUGGGGGACGCGCCAGUCUCCAAGCCCAGCCAAACCCGCCACACGGUUGAUGUGGAAAUCUCAGUAUGUCCCAUAUGAUGGGAUCCCCUUUGUCAAUGCAGGAAGCAGAGCCAUUGUAAUGGAGUGCCAGUAUGGGCCGAGGAGGAAAGGAUUUCAGCCCAAAAAAUCUGGUGAGCAGGAAAGCACCUCUGGCCACCUGUACAAAGCUACUUGUCCAGCAAGGAUCUAUAUUAAAAAGGUUCAAAAGUUUCCAGAAUACAGGGUUCCUACUGACCCUAAAAUUGACAAGAAAAUCAUAAGAAUGGAGCAGGAGAAAGCAUUCAACAUGCUGAAGAAGAACCUGAUAGAUGCUGGUGGUGUCCUCAGGUGGUAUGUACAGUUACCUACUCAGCAAGCCCACCAAUAUCAUGAAAUGGAAACUUCCUGCCUCCCUCCUUCACCAUCCCAUCUUUCUAUGUCUUCUCCUGAGGAGGAGGAGGAAGUCAUUAGAGAUGAGAACAGUACUCUGCCUUCUCGACUUCAUCCUCAAGUGGCAGACAAGAUCCGAGAACUGGUGUCUCAGGGAAUAGAGCAGGUCUAUGCAGUGAGGAAGCAACUAAGGAAGUAUGUGGAAAGAGAAUUGUUCACGCCUGAUGAAGUGCCAGAAAGACAUAACCUGUCCUUCUUCCCCACUGUGAAUGACAUCAAGAACCACAUUCAUGAAGUGCAGAAGUCCCUAAGAAAUGGAGAGAUGGUGUAUAAUUCAGAAAGUAUCCCAGCAACGUUGCAAUGGACCACAGACAGUGGGAAUGUCCUCACAGAAACUGUGACUGUUGCGUUUGCCUCACCACCUUCAGAUGGGAUCUCAGGAGUGGAGUCAGUCAUCACCAAAGCAGAAUCCAACCAGAGUGGGGAGUCCUUGAUACCUGAAACAUCUCAGCUGUUGUCUUCACUCUCUUCACUUCAGCCCAAGAUAUUUGCACAACUUCAGGGAUUACAGCUGCAGUCAACAUUUACCUCGACAAAUGGAUCAACAGCCCUGCUAGCUGUAAAUAACCAUUCCCCUCCCAGCCCUUCGAGUCUUCUGGAUUCCCUGGGGAGUGCAAUAAGCAGCCAUUCUCUAGCACUCAGUCAGAGCCACAGUCUGCAAGCAAGUGCUGGCCUAACACAGGACAGUGCUGCUGCGCCUGCUUUUGGGGCUCUGCCUGGCCCUGAUCAGAGUCUGGUUGCCAUGGGCCAGCUGGUACCAGCUGAAGGGGUGGAUGACUCCAGAAGCCUGGGAGGAGGAGAACAUCAGAUUCUCUUGGGAGAUGUGCAGACUAUUCCAGUACAGAUUGUGGACAGCCAGCCAGUACUUACUGAAGAAAAUACAGAGGGUGUUGUUACCUGUGUGAGCCAAGUUAAACAAGAGCCAAGAGAAAAAGCAUUGUCUAUGGAGACAGAUAAAAUCAGAGACUGCCACAGUUCCUCACCAUAGUUCUUCACCUUCACCUGAAGCCUGGAAGGAUUUUUCAAAUUGGAGAACUCUAAAUGUCUUGGAAGGAAAGGCAGGUGCUCUCAAAGUACUGCCAUUCUUUUUUAAUUGUAUUCUGACAUUUGGACUAAGCGUAUUUUAGAGUAGUUAUGACAGAAAGCUGUUUUGGUUUGACUGAUGUGGCUCACUGCCAACUCCAGGUCAUUCAGUUGCCCCAUGGAACACCACCUCUCUCUUCCGUUUCAAGUUUUGAGUAAUUUGGAUUCUAUCCAAAUGACCUAUUUUGUUCGUUGUUUCUGAAGGUCUUCCACAAUUUAAUUCCUUAGCUUUAGAAUGUGGAUCACAAUGCUGGGUUUGCAUUUUCUUCUUGAGACCCUUGACUCUUAUUGCACUACAGAGACCAUAGAAUCUGUCAGCUCCAAGAUCACAGAAUCCAACAGCAAAGCAAUCAGUAUGACAAUGGUUUUGUGACAAAAGGAAGGUCCAGGUUGCUAAACUUCAAAGUGAUAAAGGACAUGGAUGCUUAAGAAAAUGCAGCUUUGACCUGAUCAUAAUGUUAAUGGUGUGAAGAUCAAGGAGAGGAGAAAGGUGAGGUUGCCAGGUGAACAUAAAGUUGUAUGAUAAAGCAAAGUGUAUGAAUUGUAAUGGUGAAUUUUUUUGACUUUGACAUCUUUGAACUUAAGUUCUGGCUUUAUAAUGAGGUUCAUUGAUGCAUGCAGCCUUCCUUUGCAGUGCUACUGUAUUUGCAGUUGGUCAUAACACUAAAUGCAGGAGUCUUUCUCAUGGAAAAUGAUUGAUGCUGCCAUUUCAGCUUAUCUACCUCUUGCUUUGUGCACUUAAAGCUAUCAGCUCAGACAAAUGUGAUUUAACCUGCUGCUGUUUGUGAUGUAGGGCUUGUGGAUACAUUCCUAACAAAGAGAAGCCCAAGAAAACAAAGAAAGUAAUCAAAGCAAUGUCCAAGUGUUCUUCACCUUAACAUUCAGAAAACAAACUCACCUUUCUCAAAAGUGACGUAUUCUAAGACUUAAGUGGUCCAUACAAUUAAGAUAAUUACCACGAAUCUUUAGAAAAUUGAAUGUGUUAAAAAUUAUUGUUUAGUAAUAUUUGAGUUAAAGCCAUAGUAAGUGACAAGCACUGAGCUGUGUAAUCUGUGACAGCUGUUUCCUUAAGAAAAAAAAUCACAGCUACAAAUAACAUGGAAUCAUUUUAAAGCUGUAAAUGAAAUGAAACUGAUGCCAACAUAGAUAUCAAGUUAAGAAAUUGCAUUUUUUGCAAUUCAGAUGUUGAAUUCUUAAAGCAAAAUUCAGAGUAGUUUGUAUACAGCAAUAGGAGCCUUUCUAUUAUUAGUUCCUACUAAGUAGUUGAGAACUUGAUCAUAAAAUAGGGGUUUUUUUCUGCAUGCUGUGGAAGAAUUCAGUGUGAGGACUUUUCUUUUUUUUGGACUUGAAAACAAAUGAACAAAGAACCACAGAAAAACUAUUUCAUUUAUGUAGAGAAGAAAGUGUUGUGAAUAUUAUAUGAACCAAAACGUUGACAUUUAAAAAUUGUUACUUUACCUUACAUGCAAGCAUUCACAAACAUCUUCUAAACAAUGGCCAUUUAAUUUAUUUUUUUUUCAUUUUCUUUUGAGUAUUUAAAGCUAAAACUUUUGAAAGCCUUACAUUGAACUUGUGUUCCAAAUGCCUUUAUGUGCAAAAUCUGUUAGGUGCUAUAUCAUAGUCUUAAUAUAUAUUAACUUCUCUGAGGUUAACUAGCAUUGUAAACAUUAUUUGUUUAAAGCUAAUUUUUAUGGGUUAAGUCCCAUUAGGAUUUUCCAACAGGAUCAUGCUCUUAUUAAAUAAGAGCCAGUAGUUUAUGAUGCAAAUGCAUUUAAAAAUCUCCAGUUUUUUGGAGCCUUUCAUAUAUUUAGUGUCUACACUGGCUUGUUUUAUGGUGUGCUGUACUUAUUUCUGGCUAGGAAAAAUCCCCCAAGAUUCACCUGUGGGGUAUUUUAUUUAGUUGGGUAUUUUUAUUUUUGUUUUGUUUGUUGUUGGUUUUUUGGUAGGUUGUUUUGCUAACUGUCAAAGUAUCUCCCAAAUGGAUGUUCCCUGCUGCAGUCUUAGUUCUGGAGCACUCAGCCAGCAGCCACCUUCUCUUUUCCAACUCAAAAACUGCAUACCAGAAUUGGUACCUCCUUCCAUGCUGCUGUAUUCAAUAAUCCAUCACCAUCAGUUUUUCUUAAACUAAUGCAUUCCAAACCAUAUUCUCUUUUCCUUUCUCUUUUUUUGAGAAUUUUUCCUCAUUUUUGAGAAUGCUUCUUUUCAAAAGAAUAAAUUACAGCUAAAGAUCACCAGCAAGAGGUUAUUUCCAUUUUAGUUCUCUUCAAAGCAGACAAUACAUUUGUGAUUGAAAUAAAAGCUUAAAGUAAGAUGAGUUCCAUUUCCAUCAGCUCUUGCUUAGUUCCCUCAUUAACAGUUCUGGUUUUAACAUGGUUCUUUCCACCAUGAGCUAUAGUCUCAUCCUGUGCUGCACGGUAUUUUCUGACAGUGUUUCUGGUUUUGACCUAGUGCUUACGACUGGAGGAAACACUCUUUUAGUCCAUCUUGAAUUGCAGGCUCUGAAAUGAAUUUUAUAUUCUAUCCUGAUUUGCAUGGUAAUCUGGAAACAACAGAAGUAAAAGUUGGAAAAAUUUUAAAGAAGCAAUAAAGAAUUAGCUGUUGUCAAAAGCUGAGGAUUAGACUUGCAAUUCUGUUUAUUGGAAAAUUUAUUUUAAAUUAUUCUUCACUCAAUAUUCACAGUUUUCUUCAUUUUUGCUGAAUUUAAUUUCUUUGUCUUCCAAAUAUAUAAUUCAUCUUAUUACUGUGUUAUUUUUUUUAAGGUAAUGUAAUUAUUCUUUUUCAAAGUAUGUGUUUUACAUUUGUUUUGUGCAUAUUGCUAAAGGAGGAACAUGAAUUUGUCUCCAUGUCCAGUCUCUAUAUUUGAUUUAAUGCCUUUCUUCACUAAUAGCCGCCUACAUUUUAUAGAGAAGACUGUUAAGUAUCUGAAAAAAAUCCAAGUAAAUGCUGCCAUGUUCAAUGGUUAAAAUUGUUUAAAUAGAAUACUCAAGGCUGAUUUUUCAGAGUAAUCUGUGUAGCUUGAUGCAAAGUAGUUGGUUAUUAUUUUGUGUUGGAACUGUAGAUGUUUUUCUGAUGCUUACUUUGUUUUCUUGUGGUUGUUGUGUGCAAGCACUUACUUUGCAAACCUAGAAUUCUUGGCCUUCAACACUAGUGUAAAUGAACAGCUGAUUCUCCAGUUAUCCUUGUUGGUUGUCUGUAAGAGUGACUGGUUGCUUUACAAGAAGAGAUGUGCUUCUGUAUGUGCAUGCAAAAAUAACCUUUUGGUAAAAUGUAGAGAAAGUGUAAAAUGGUAUACAUCCAUAGCUCUUCAAGGCUGGAGGCCUAUUGGAUGGAAACCAGUACUAGAAAUGAUUGCUGUUUGUUGGUACAAAAUUAUUGCAGUUUCUACAAAAUUUAGAGGCACAAAUGUCUGUAUAUAUAUGUAUGUAUAUAUAUAUAUAUUUUCUAUAGUAACUUACUGUAUAAUAUUUAUAUUCAAAUGUAAACUACUUGUUCUUUUAAAGUAAUGGUCUAUUUUGUGGCUAUGGGGGCUCAUGGGGAGAAAUGCAAGAGCACUUUCAGGGCAGUGGAUUUUAGAGAUGAUGGGCCACAAGUAGGAGAGCUCCAGAGAGACCAGGUGGAAGAAGUUCCUGAAAAGCAAGGAUCCUGCUUGGAGGACUGAUGGGAGUUGUGCUUGGAGGGUUCUGGGGAUGAGAACCCAAAGGCUCAGUGCAGUUCCUGAUUCUGUCUGUAGUCCUCUCUAUGCCAGUAGUGGAUAGUGUGAGUUCAUGGUAGGAAAUUAAAGGUAUGGAAAAAAAGGGAAUCCUGCCCUGCCCUUAAAAGCAGAGAAGCUGCUGGAGUUUUGAUGAGCAUGAGAGGCAGAUAAAUGACUCCCCAUAGUCUGAGAUGCCCAUUCUUAGCUUCUAAUAUGAAGAAGAAGCUCCUCUUGGAGCUUCAGCCCAGGCCUGUAGACUCUUUUUCUUUACCUGUUACCAAGGAAAACAAACCUUUUCUUCCCAACUGAAUUAACCUGCUGCUUUCCUCAUCCCACUGACUGCAGUUCAUCUGCCCAAAUGUCUCUCCAUACUUUUUAAGGCUCCCACAGAAAUCCCAUGCCCUCAGGCCCUCCAAUUCUCACUGUUUCACUGUUGGACUGUUGAAGGAGCUGCUGAGUUCACUGCACAGGUAAACACUGGUGAGCUUUGCCCCAUCAGUUUUUCUCCCUCCUUCCCCAUGAUCAUAAAUACAUAUGUUCCUUUAAAUUGCAUUAAGUUUUUUUUACUUGCUUGCUUAAGGGUUUAUCAUCAUUACUGGGAUGCAUAUAAGGGAGCACCAUUUCACAGACCAUUUACAUUCACAGCAACUGAAAAUAUUUGAUAAAACAGGGAGGAAUCAGCUGUUAGGGCUGGCCUCUUUCAUACCACUUGAAUUGAUGAUUCUGGCUGUGGAUAGUAGCUGCCCGUUAAGCUGGCUGUCUGUUGGCAAAAGUGCAAUUUUCUCCCUUAAGCCUAUUCAAGCACAUGCCUUCUCAGAUGUUUAGGUAGGAAGAAUCUGUUCCAUUAGGAAUAGCAAGUGUGAUAUAGCUGAGCAUGGUGCUGGGAAAAGUUACUGUUCUUUAUGGGUCUCUGAUGAGAAAAUAAUCUUUGAUUUGCAUUGCCUUUCUGAACAAAGCUUUUGUAGGAAUAGACUUCAGAGCCUAUCCUAUCAGUAACAAUUAUCUUCUCCCAGCAACAGUGCACUGCAUUAAUGAAUGAAACAAGCCUUGUGUAAAACAGAUGGUGUUAAUUUUUUUAGGUCAGAAGCUAUCCAGUUGGUCUACCUAACAACAGCAGCUAAGAAGUUCUACAAGCCUUCAAGGGACGUGGAGAGCAUGAAAGUGUCUAAGAUCUUAUGAGACGACCUGCAGGAAUGAAACAGAGGAGGUUAAAGUUUGAUGAUGUGACUUCUAUAUAAUGCACUUUCUUUGGUGGGAGGAAGAGGAUUUUCCAAUAGAGAAUAAAAGUAAAUCUUCUUUUUCAGAAUAUUAGUAUUAUUGCUGACUCUCUCUGGUCUGUUCGACAAGAUGCCUGGUGUUUGGACAGGUCUCAAUGUUUUAUGAAUGUGUCCCAAAAUGUUAAUGAAUACGCAUUCAUACAUUGCUAUCUUUGCAUGUCAUACUGAAACUGUAAGCCAGUGGCACCUCCUGAUCUUUUUAUUGUCUCUGUGCAUUUUCAUAAAGUAAAUGAAAGCUGCUUUUUAUAAAGAAAUAGCAGAGACCUUUUGUCCAGAGUCCUUUCAGAUAUAUACUUUUAUAUAGAGUAAGCUUUAACUUAAUAAUGUUGUUUAUUUCUAGCCCUUUAAUAACCUAAAAUAGCCAAAGCCUUUUCACCUUUUUUUCUUUUUAUCCAGAACAUGAAGCAUUUCAAACUACCCCUCAAAACUACCAUGCUCAGAGCCUGAAAGGUUUGGCACUUUUCUUCCUGGUGAUCUUCCAUCUGUACUGUGUUGUGUCUUGCGUAUAACACCAGAAUCCAUAGUUAAUACCUAUCCCAUCACAUUAAAGCACUUUUUCAUUUGCAGAAUCUACCUGGUCACUUGACAGCAUAUCAGUGUCAAUAUCUGCAAACCAGUUUAUUGAUUAACAUCUGUCACAUCAGUUCUAGAUGUGGCCAAUUUUCUUUGUGCAUGGAAUUUGCAUUGGUGUAGUGAAACUAGUGAUGUCAAAAAUGGUCAAGUCUCAUGAACUGAGUGCCUUCUGUUGCGAAUUUGAUCUUAGUCUGAGUUCUGUCUGAGCUAGGAACAAAUUCUGAGGCUGUGUUCUGCCUCUGUUGCCCCUGUGUUCUGCAGUGCUUGUUGAGCAGAAGAAAAACCUUCCAGUUCCUAAGAACAGGUACACUUGUGUUUUUGCCUGAUGCAAAGCUGCUCAUAUUAAUCUCUUGAGAGAUGGCUCAUGGAAUUCUGCUUUCCAGCUUAAGAGAAGAUAAAGUCUCUGUAUAUGAAAACUUGCUGGAGAAUGUACAGACAGUUGGGAGCAUCUAGAAGAGUCACCCUCAAGUGUACUUAAUUUAGGAAUAGGAGCUGGUAGAAGGAAUAAACAACUGAAGAGUAUAAUGGUAAAAGUAGGCAUUCUUACUCUUUACAUAGCAUUGCCCUUACACAAUACCUUUUCUUAAAUAUGUUCCUUGACAAACACUGGUCAGCAGUGAGAAGGAAACAAAUCUCAAUUUCUUCCCACUGCCAGCUUAAAGUUUAACAGAGCUUCUGCAAAUUAAUCACAAGUUGGGCCUAAAAGUCUAUCCUAGAUCUGAGUUCAGUUUUGCUUUGUCAGGUCACUGUUAAGUUACAUAAAUUUAACUUUUUCACAUAGCUGUUUCUUUUAAAGAUAAAAUUAAAUGUGAGAAAGCUUUGGAAAUUUUGUUUCUUAUAGAGGACACUUCAGUUCUCUGAAGUGUGCAGGUGUUUUCCACUUGUCUUCCACUUUUAUCUCUUAGUUCAAUAUGUAUUGGCUGUUUUCUCAGGAUCACUUACCUCUGAGAGCACUCCAGAUAACUGUCAAGAAGCCAGAGCAGAGAACAGAAGAGGAAAAGAAGUUUGCAAAAAGCUGCUUGCAGAAGAUAGAAAGCUCUCAAACUUACAGCUGAAGACUGCAAUUUCUUAUGGCUGAAAUGGCUCACUUUAGAUGGUAAAUAUUUUUUUAAUAUACUACUUUUUAAUUGUUCAUUUUGUUACUGCUUACGCCUUGAGCUCACAUCUAAUAAAAGCUAGAAUGGUAACUGUGUAUUUUGCUUUUAUCUUCAGUGUACUAGUUAUCUUCUGAAUGUAAACUGGUCUGAUAACUCCAUGUUUUUGGCUGUUGACAAAGCUGUUAUCGCAUCUGAGGUGUUCUGUACAUCGGAGAUGGAGGAAGUGGGAACCUUCUUGACCUUAUUUCUACUGAGAACAGAUGAUCUGUGGAAAGAGGGCUUUGCCAGUUUUAAAUCAAUAUCCUCACAAUAAUUUGGUGUGUGUACAUGUUUUUCAUGUCAGGUGCUAGUGCAUGUCUAACUUUGUACAUAAUAGAAGCCAUAAAAUUACCUCUCACUGGCCUAGCCAUAUUUUUUAUUGUCUCCUACCACUGUACUCAUUGUUUUUUUGGGAAUGGGACAAUUAUUUUAACAUGUUCUCGUUUUCUACUUUUCUGCCUUUCUCCUGUUGCCUCUUUCUCAUACCCAGAGCAGCACAGAUUUCUCACUUUAAAAAAACUUCUCCAUCCUCAGUUUCCCAUAUUUUGGGAAACUUUCUCUUUGCUUUAUUGUGCUGGACUUUGAUUUCUUACAUGACUGAAAUGUAAGAUAUCAUUGCAUUUUGCUUAAGGAGUGGGAAAUACUGGGGUGGGCUCCACUGCCCCCUUCACUCCAGAAGUCCUCAGAGGAAUUACCUACCACAGGUUCUGCUCCUGCACCUGCAUCUCCACACAGGCCAGCACAAGCACAGAACUGUGCUGAUGCCCUUUGUGUACCAGCAUGUUAUCAGUACAAAGUUACUGCUGUGAAUCCAGAUCAGUCUGUGGGUCUGCCCCACUGUGUCCCCACAAAUGACUCUUUGGGUACAACUUGAAAGAGAGCACAGGAAACAGCCAGAAAGUUCUUAAUGUUCAACUUUUAGUUUGUGAUUCUGUAUUGAGUUCAGGUGCUCUGGUGUGGGUGGCCCUGUGCAGGACACAGCUGGUUCCAGGCAGCUCAGCAACUGCCCCGCCAUGGGACACAGCUGAGCACAUCUGUGAAGCUGGGGCACCUCUGUGGCAGUGUCUGUAAGAAAAGGCAAAAUGCUGCAUGGCAGAGAGGAGUGAGGAAGAAGGUGAAAGAGUUCUCUGAGCACCCAUGUCAGAAAAGAAGAAGAGGGAGGGAAUUGCUUUCUGGUGCUGGAAAUUCAGACCACAGAGGAUCACAUGCCAGAGCAGGUGCAGAUUUUUCUGAAGGAACUGCAGUCUGUGGAGAGGAGCCAUGCCAGAACAGGCUUCUGCUGAAGGACUGCAGCCUGUGGAGAGAGCCCAUGAUGGAGUGACAGAAAGAAGCUAUUACAGACUGACUGCAACACCCAUGUUCCACUUUGCCCUCUGCUGCCUUGGACAAGGGGAGACAGAGGAGUUGGGGGUUCAAAGUGUAAAAGAGGACAACAGAAUGGAAUGUGCUGUUUUAAUUUGCUUUUGUUUCUUAGUGAUUUAAUCUAUUUUAAUUGGCAAAAAAUUAAAUUAGCUUUCCUCAUAUUGAUUCAAAUAUUGAAAUUUACAUCUGGACGCCAGUCAUGGUGGAAAAUCCUGAUUGUUUGAUCACUGCAAGUCAUUAUUGCCUUUAAUUUUUAAGUAAUCAAAUUUUAAUUUUUAAGGAUUCAUUCUGUGUGAAGAAAGUAGUGUACCUUGUCUGAAUCAGGAAUUACAUUUCUGGAUGUAUUCUGGUUAGGUCUUUCAAGUUCAGUGUACUCACCUCUUCACUAGAGUAGAUCUCGGUGGCGAAUUAACUCAGGAACAUGUCUAAUCUGUUACAUUUCAGCUGGAAAAGAAUACCAGCCAUAUUUUUACAGGUUUGAGCAUGGGAGAGUCAUUCAGAGGAGACGAUGCUGCAGCAUUAUUUACUUUGGUAAAGCUGUUCUUACAGGUGUUAAGGAUGUGGCAUCUUCCCAGUGUUGUCUAGCAGUGCUUCAGAAUGGGGCAAAGUUUGUGGUGAGUGGCAUCUUCAGUGAAAGUGCUGUUAACUUUGGGCAAAGAAAUAAGCAGAGUUUGGGAAUGGGAUUUAUACUCUUGUGCUUUUCAGAGAUUAUUUAGGAAAAUAAUAAAAAUAAUAAGAAUAAUAAGUAAUAGUAAAGUAAUAAGUAAAAUAAUAAGUAAUAAGAAUAAGAAGGGAACUUCCUUUAGAGGAUAAGUUUUAUAUGUAUGUUCUUUCACCACCUUUGGAAAAUACCUGGUACUGGACACCAAGGGUAUCUAGGCAGGGUACUAGGUGACAUAACACACUUACUGGUUUCUAAUGGGAGCACUGGAAUACAAACUUGAUGGAUAGCUUCCUAGCAUUAGCUAAAUUAAUCUUCAUUUUUUUGUCCUCUCUCUUCACAUUUCACUAUAAAGGGAAGAGUCUCUGUUAAAGGGAACAUGGUGAAUUGUUAUCUGUCCAUAAAACUGUUUGUGAACAGUUGGAUGAAAAGGACUUCUUUGAUAAUGAAUUAGAUGAGCUUUGGAAAGAAUUGCACUGUCACUGUAACUUCAAGUAUUUCCUUCCAAAGAUAUUGCUCACUAUUGAUUAUUGUCUUCCUGUUUAUUUGCUGUAUAAUUUAUUUGUUAAGCUUUUCUGGCCAUGUCAGGGCCAUAGAAGUAAUACAUAGGGCAGUUCUCUUUUCCUUUGAAGUUUUAUAAAAGGGGAAAGAAUUCUUCAUUUUGCAUUUAGGCACCAGCUGCUCUGGAAAAGUCCAUGAUUAUCUGUGUUCCAUAGCUACCAAAAAAUACCAAAAAGUAUUCCAUAAACUUGUGAUUUUUCCUUGGAUCAGGCAAAUUGAGUUUGACAUCUUUUUUUAAAAAAAAAAAGGCAGACUAUGCUAGAACCAAAUUUAGCAUCUUCAGGAGCUGUGACCUAGGGUUCAUCAGCUGCAAUUGUAAAAAGAUUGAUGUUUUCAUAGUGAAAUGUUUUCAUUAAUCUAAUUUAAUCUAUGAACAGAAGUAUCUUCAUUCCUCUUAUUUCAGACUUGUGAACUCCUUUGCAAAAUGAGAGAUCGCUAGUGAGAUUAGCUAAUAACUGCAAAAAUGGAAAAGUUUCACUGAGAACAGGUGUGGUAACAAAAUGUACCAUAAAGUCAGACAGCAUAAUUAACAUUAGUAAGGUAAGAUCUUUCAGAGGUUAACUACAGGCUAAUACUUUUGGUGGGACACUGAUGUUUAUUCUGAUCUUGCAAACAAAAAUAAUGUUUAUGAGCCAUUGCAGAAAGAACUGGGAAAUAAAGCACUUUGUAAAAUGCCA